UACUGAGGGGGCUAGCGUUGUUCGGAAUUACUGGGCGUAAAGCGCGCGUAGGCGGACCUGCAAGUCGGGGGUGAAAGCCCGAGGCUCAACCUCGGAACUGCCUUCGAUACUGCGGGUCUCGAGUCCGGGAGAGGUGAGUGGAAUUCCUAGUGUAGAGGUGAAAUUCGUAGAUAUUAGGAAGAACACCAGUGGCGAAGGCGGCUCACUGGCCCGGUACUGACGCUGAGGUGCGACAGCGUGGGGAGCAAACAGG
rnacentral:rRNA from 1 species